rnacentral:rRNA from 1 species
GUCGAACGGUGAAGCCAGCUUGCUGGGUGGAUCAGUGGCGAACGGGUGAGUAACACGUGAGCAACCUGCCCCUGACUCUGGGAUAAGCGCUGGAAACGGCGUCUAAUACUGGAUAUGUGACGUGACCGCAUGGUCUGCGUCUGGAAAGAAUUUCGGUUGGGGAUGGGCUCGCGGCCUAUCAGCUUGUUGGUGAGGUAAUGGCUCACCAAGGCGUCGACGGGUAGCCGGCCUGAGAGGGUGACCGGCCACACUGGGACUGAGACACGGCCCAGACUCCUACGGGAGGCAGCAGUGGGGAAUAUUGCACAAUGGGCGCAAGCCUGAUGCAGCAACGCCGCGUGAGGGACGACGGCCUUCGGGUUGUAAACCUCUUUUAGCAGGGAAGAAGCGAAAGUGACGGUACCUGCAGAAAAAGCGCCGGCUAACUACGUGCCAGCAGCCGCGGUAAUACGUAGGGCGCAAGCGUUAUCCGGAAUUAUUGGGCGUAAAGAGCUCGUAGGCGGUUUGUCGCGUCUGCUGUGAAAUCCGGAGGCUCAACCUCCGGCCUGCAGUGGGUACGGGCAGACUAGAGUGCGGUAGGGGAGAUUGGAAUUCCU